rnacentral:misc_RNA from 1 species
AACGCACGAGACCUGCGGACCUGCGGAGGGAUCAUUAAAAAAGACCCAUUUUUAAAAACCUACUACCAACUCUUACCCAUCGGGUCAGAUGGAAGUGGGUUUUUUUUCAAACUCCAAAAUUUUUAACUAUUCGUCUUGAUGACGAAAUUCAAAUUAAUAAAUAAAACUUUUAACAAUGGAUCUCU